rnacentral:tRNA from 1 species
GCCUGGGUGGCUCAGUGGGUUAAGCGUCUGACUUCAGCUCAGGUCACGAUCUCGCGGUCCGUGAGUUCGAGCCCCGCGUCAGGCU